CAACGCCGGGAAACUCACCAGAUAAGACAGCUGAAUGAUAGUCGGGCUGAAGACUCUACUUGACUAGCUGAGAGGAGGUGCAUGGCCGUCGUCAGUUCGUACUGUGAAGCAUCCUGUUAAGUCAGGCAACGAGCGAGACCCACGCCAACAGUUGCCAGCUCGUCCUCCGGGAUGGUGGGGACACUGUUGGGACCGCCUCUGCUAAAGAGGAGGAAGGAAUGGGCAACGGUAGGUCAGCAUGCCCCGAAUUAUCCGGGCUACACGCGGGCUACAAUGGUCGGGACAAUGGGUAUCGACACCGAGAGGUGGAGGCAAUCUCCUAAACCUGUCCUUAGUUCGGAUUGUGGGCUGCAACUCGCCCACAUGAAGCUGGAAUCCGUAGUAAUCGCGUUUCAAAAUAGCGCGGUGAAUAUGUCCCUGCUCCUU
rnacentral:rRNA from 1 species